rnacentral:tRNA from 1 species
AUUCUUAUAGUUUAAUGAAAAACAACAACGUAGAUGUGAGUUCGAGUCUUGCUAAGGAUA